UACGUAGGGUGCAGGCGUUAAUCGGAAUUACUGGGCGUAAAGCGUGCGCAGGCGGUUUCUUAAGUCAGAUGUGAAAGCCCCGGGCUUAACCUGGGAACUGCGUUUGAAACUGGGAGACUUGAGUGUGGCAGAGGGGGGUGGAAUUCCACGUGUAGCAGUGAAAUGCGUAGAUAUGUGGAGGAACACCGAUGGCGAAGGCAGCCUCCUGGGCCAGCACUGACGCUCAUGCACGAAAGCGUGGGGAGCAAACAGG
rnacentral:rRNA from 1 species